CAACGCCGCGUGAGGGAAGACGGCCUUCGGGUUGUAAACCUCUUCAGGAGGACGAAGGUUCAGGCGCGAAUAGCGUCCUGGACUGACGGUACCUCCAGAAGAAGCUCCGGCUAACUACGUGCCAGCAGCCGCGGUAAUACGUAGGGAGCAAGCGUUGUCCGGAAUCAUUGGGCGUAAAGCGCGCGUAGGCGGCCCUGUAAGUCCGCUGUGAAAGUCAAAGGCUCAACCUUUGAAAGCCGGUGGAUACUGCAGGGCUAGAGUCCGGAAGAGGCGAGUGGAACUCCUGGUGUAGCGGUGGAAUGCGCAGAUAUCAGGAAGAACACCGACGGCGAAGGCAGCUCGCUGGGACGGUACUGACGCUGAGGCGCGAAAGCGUGGGGAGCGAACAGGAUUAGAUACCCUGGUAGUCCACGCCGUAAACGAUGGGCAUUAGGUGCGGGAGGUGUCGACUCCUCCCGUGCCGACGCUAACGCAUUAAAUGCCCCGCCUGGGGAGUACGGCCGCAAGGCUA
rnacentral:rRNA from 1 species